UGAGAUCAUGACCUGAGCUGAAGCCGGACACUAAACUGACUGAGCCACCCAGAUGCCGCACCAAGAUGGUUUUCUUUAGUGAAAAGUACAAGGUGCCAAACUGUGUUUAGAAUGCUAUUUUCAGGGCACCUGGCUGCCUCAGUCGGUAGAGCAUGUGACUCUCGAUCUUGGGGUCGUGAGUUCAAACCCUACUUUGAAUGUAGAGCUCACACACACACACACACACAAAAUAGAAUGCUGUUUUCAAAAAAGGAUAUAUAUGGAUAUGUUUGCGUAUGCAAAAACUAUGGAAACAAGAAACUAAGGAGAAAACCGGCCCACAGGGAGGAGAGCUUGGUCACCAGGGAUGAAAGUGGGACAUUUGCAUUGUAUACUCUUUUGCAUUUUGUACCAAGUAUAAGUAUUAUUUAUUUAAUAAACAAAAUAUAUGUAAAUACAUGAAGGUUGCCUUUGGUGAAUCAUUUUGCAAGGUUCAUUUGUAGUGCAAACAACCACUCCCUCAUUUGCUUUGGAAAUGUUGACAUUUCUGUCCUGGAUUUUCUUAAAGCAUGAAAUACCAGAGUCUACAAACCACACCCUGAGUGUUCUAAAUUUGAGGUCACUGACAAAACCAGCCAUGCAAGUGUGACUUUCCAAAAGGCCAAACAUUGUCAAGAGAAGCAGAGCAUCUUACCCCUGACAGUGCGUGUCUUACCCACUGGAAGCAAUGACAUCAGUUGCCUCUGAAUAUUCCUUCCAUGAGAAGAUAGGAACCGUCCUCAGCUCCUGCUAGCCCAGAGCUGCUCCAACUUAACAUGUAUACAAAUCCUGUAGGAUUCAAUUAAAAUACAUAUUCUGAUUUAGAAA